UUUUGCCAAUUGGAAAAUAUA
rnacentral:piRNA from 1 species